rnacentral:rRNA from 1 species
UACAGAGGUGGCAAGCGUUGUUCGGAAUUACUGGGCGUAAAGGGCGCGUAGGCGGCUUGGUCAGUCCCGUGUGAAAUCCCUCGGCUCAACUGAGGAACUGCACGGGAAACUGCCUGGCUUGAGUUCGGGAGAGGGAAGCGGAAUUCCGGGUGUAGCGGUGAAAUGCGUAGAUAUCUGGAGGAACACCGGUGGCGAAGGCGGCAUCCUGGACCAACACUGACGCUGAGGCGCGAAAGCCAGGGGAGCAAACGGG